rnacentral:rRNA from 1 species
GGCAGCCGCCGCGGUAACACCGGCGGCCCGAGUGGUGAUCGUGAUUAUUGGGUCUAAAGGGUCCGUAGCCGGUUUGGUCAGUCCUCCGGGAAAUCUGAUAGCUCAACUAUUAGGCUUUCGGGGGAUACUGCCAGACUUGGAACCGGGAGAGGUAAGAGGUACUACAGGGGUAGGAGUGAAAUCUUGUAAUCCCUGUGGGACCACCUGUGGCGAAGGCGUCUUACCAGAACGGGUUCGACGGUGAGGGACGAAAGCUGGGGGCACGAACCGGAUUAGAUACCCGGGUAGUCCCAGCCGUAAACGAUGCUCGCUAGGUGUCAGGCAUGGCGCGACCGUGUCUGGUGCCGCAGGGAAGCCGUGAAGCGAGCCACCUGGGAAGUACGGCCGCAAGGCUGAAACUUAAAGGAAUUGGCGGGGGAGCACAACAACGGGUGGAGCCCUGCGGUUUAAUUGGACUCAACGCCGGACAACUCACCGGGGGCGACAGCAAUAUGUAGGCCAAGCUGAAGACUUUGCCUGAAUCGCUGAGAAGAGGUGCAUGG